AACCUAGUAAUGGUAUUGCUAGAUCAAAGGAGAAGGGCAUGAUUUUCUUGAGUGAGCUUUUGUACCUCCUUUUCCAUUUGGCCAAUUCUACUUUGUAAAGAGUUCUUUUCCUCAAACAUUUUUGUAUCUCUUUUUUUCCAUAGGGCCAAUUCUGUUUUUCAAGAAGUUUUUCUCUUCAGUAUUUUUGUAUAUCUUUUUCCAUUUGGCCAAUUCUGCUUUUUAAGUAGUUUUUCUCUUCAUCAGAUUAUUGUGCCUUUUUUUUUUAACAACUGACCUAUUCUGUUUUUUAAGAUAUUAAUUUCUUCAGUAUUUUUUUGUGUGCCUCCUUUACUAAACUGUUGACUCUUUUCCCCAUGAUUUUCCUGUAUCGCUCUCAUUAAUUUUUCCAAUUUUUCUUCUUCCUCUCUUACUUGGUUUUAAAAAUCCUUUUGGAGCUCCUCUUUUUGGGGUUUGAGAACAAUUAAUAUUUUUCUUAGAGGCUUUGGAUGCAGCAGUAUUGACUUUGUUGUUGUCUUCUGAGUUUGAGUCUUCCCUGUCACCAAAAUAACUUUCUAUGUUGAGGUUUUUGUUUGUUUGUUUGUUAUUUCUUUUCUUUUAGUUUAAAAACUGCUGAAAUUGGGCUCCGUAAUUGUGGUGAAGGGAGCACUGUCUCAAGUUUCAUAUUCUUUGUGCAGCUGCCUUCAGAGCUGGCACUGGGCAUCUAUCAUCUAUCAGCUCUUUCAAAGAGUUCUUUCUCUGGAUGUGAAGAGUUCUUUCUCACAAGUUCCUCUGAAUUGUUCAGGAUCACUGCAUUGCACUAUAGAGAAAGUACAUUACAUCAAUUGUACCACAGUGUAUUGUCCU
rnacentral:lncRNA from 1 species